UGGUAAUGCCGGAUGCUCCAGUUGACCGCAUGGUCCUCUGGGAAAGCUUUUGCGGUAUGGGAUGGGGUCGCGUCCUAUCAGCUUGAUGGCGGGGUAACGGCCCACCAUGGCUUCGACGGGUAGCCGGCCUGAGAGGGCGACCGGCCACAUUGGGACUGAGAUACGGCCCAGACUCCUACGGGAGGCAGCAGUGGGGAAUAUUGCACAAUGGGCGCAAGCCUGAUGCAGCGACGCCGCGUGCGGGAUGACGGCCUUCGGGUUGUAAACCGCUUUUGACUGGGAGCAAGCCCUUCGGGGUGAGUGUACCUUUCGAAUAAGCACCGGCUAACUACGUGCCAGCAGCCGCGGUAAUACGUAGGGUGCAAGCGUUAUCCGGAAUUAUUGGGCGUAAAGGGCUCGUAGGCGGUUCGUCGCGUCCGGUGUGAAAGUCCAUCGCUUAACGGUGGAUCCGCGCCGGGUACGGGCGGGCUUGAGUGCGGUAGGGGAGACUGGAAUUCCCGGUGUAACGGUGGAAUGUGUAGAUAU
rnacentral:rRNA from 1 species